UAGGGAAUCUUCCGCAAUGGGCGAAAGCCUGACGGAGCAACGCCGCGUGAGUGAUGAAGGUCUUCGGAUCGUAAAACUCUGUUAUUAGGGUAGAACAAAUGUGUAAGUAACUAUGCACGUCUUGACGGUACCUAAUCAGAAAGCCACGGCUAACUACGUGCCAGCAGCCGCGGUAAUACGUAGGUGGCAAGCGUUAUCCGGAAUUAUUGGGCGUAAAGCGCGCGUAGGCGGUUUUUUAAGUCUGAUGUGAAAGCCCACGGCUCAACCGUGGAGGGUCAUUGGAAACUGGAAAACUUGAGUGCAGAAGAGGAAAGUGGAAUUCCAUGUGUAGCUGUGAAAUGCGCAGAGAUAUGGAGGAACACCAGUGGCGAAGGCGACUUUCUGGUCUGUAACUGACGCUGAUGUGCGAAAGCGUGGGGAUCAAACAGG
rnacentral:rRNA from 1 species